UUAACGAUCAAUGAAAACAUUGCUGUAUCUACUAAACAAAUGUUUUACUUUGCAGAGUUCAAAUGACAACUUGAUUGAGAUGAGGUGGUUAGGGUACCUAUAGUGUUCCUUUAAAGUAAGUAUUCCUUUUGAAUGCAGCUUCCUUAAAAUGCCACCAGUAACUAAGUAAAAGUAAUUUGAGUGUUGGGAUGAUGUCCAUAUAUUUACACACAGCAUCUGUACUAAAUAUGGCAGAAUACAAAACUUCACUGCAGUGUAAAGUGUAGUAUGCUCACAGGCCUCCCUCCCUGUUACCCCAUUCCUGCAUUUUACAAUGCAGUUAUUAAACUGAACCUAAAAAGCUUCUGCCAGUGAAUAGAAAAUACACAGCUAUUUAUAGUCCCUCUGCAGAGAUGUCAAGCUUUGGAAAAUACAUUUGUUUAUUUGCACUAAUGCAAAUAUGUAGCAAACAGAAAGGUAGGUAGGGC